CCUACGGGUGGCAGCAGUGGGGAAUAUUGGUCAAUGGGGGAAACCCUUAUCCAGCGACGCCGCGUGAGGGAAGAAGGUCUUCGGAUUGUAAACCUCUGUCAGUGGGGACGAUAAUGUCGGUACCUACGGAGGAAGCCAUGGCCAACUACGUGCCAGCAGCCGCGGUAAUACGGAGGUGGCAAGCGUUGUCCGGAAUUACUGGGUGUAAAGGGAGCGUAGGCGGGAUGUCAAGUCAGAAGGGAAAAUUAUGGGCUCAACUCAUAACCUGCUUUUGAAACUGAUAUUCUUGAGUGAAGUAGAGGCAAGCGGAAUUCGUGGUGUAGCGGUGAAAUGCGUAGAUAUUAGGAGGAACACCAGUGGCGAAGGCGGCUUGCUGGACUUUUACUGACGCUGAGGCUCGAAAGCGUGGGGAGCAAACAGGAUUAGAUACCCGGGUAGUC
rnacentral:rRNA from 1 species